UAACUUUAAAUCCUCAUCCCAUAUGUUUUCUAAUCAAAUAAUUAAUAGACAAACAAUGAGAAUUUGAGGAAACCUGUUUAUCCUAACAUACUAAAUGUAGUAACUAGCCGUGGAUUAUUUAAUAUAACAAAUUUUAAGCUUAACUCAUGCAGAUCAAAGAGUAUCUCCUAAUUUACUUUGCUAAUACAGCCCCAAUUUCAAAAACAAACAAGAGGAACACAUAAGGUAAAAUCAAACACUGAUUGUAGAAUCCGGCAACAAAAUCAUUAGGAGACACAUGCUGAGCUAAUGUGAUCUAGAUGUCAAUUACAAACCAUAUAAUGAUAAAUAAAUCAAUCAAAGUCCAAACAAUGUGUGCUGAUCAUAGAAACUGAAGGAACAAAGAUGGAGUUCAGUGAAUCAUUACAACACUUCAUAUUAUUUUGAUCUAAGCUUUGCAUUGCACAUUAAGUAAUGUCCAUAAGGCUGAAUAAUACCUUGAGAUGAGAAUAAAAGGGGGUAAGGCUCAGUUGUAGCAACAACAGGAUCCAGCAGUAGAAAUAUACCACGAAAACAGCUUUAAACUAGCAUAUGGCUUAGUAACUACUUUAGGAAUUAGAAAUUGAAGAAAUCCCAUAAAGAAACUCGAUGAAAUAGUAAUUUCAACAAUUUUCAAAACCAACCCCCUUCUAAACACACAAAAUAACACCAAGCUUAAUCCAUUUCAAUCCUCAGCUAUUCAGAAAUUAUUUCAGGAAUUGAAGGCUUUAGAAAUCAAAGGAAACAAAAAAAAAACAAUGAAAUAGUAGAAAAGUUUAUGGCAAUUUGGUAAUUCCUGGAAUUCUAUCUAUUAGGUCUCUUCG
rnacentral:lncRNA from 1 species